UUUUAUGCGAUUACUGGUGUGAAUUGCAGAAUCCCGUGAACCAUCGAGUCUUUGAACGCAAGUUGCGCCCGAUGCCAUUAGGUUGAGGGCACGUCUGCCUGGGUGUCACAUAUCGAAGCCUCCUGCCAAUUUCCUUUUGACAGGUAUUGUGCAAGGGUGGAUGUUGGCCUCCCGUGAGCUCUUUUGCCUCAUGGUUGGUUGAAAAUUGAGACCUUGGUAGGGUGUGCCGUGAUAAAUGGUGGUUGUGUGACCCACGAGACCAAUCAUGCGCUGCUCUAUUGAAUUUGGCCUCUUUUACCCAUAUGCGUUUCUAAACGCUCGUGAUGAGACCUCAGGUCAGGCGGGGCUACCCGCUGAAUUUAAGCAUAUCAAUAAGCGGAGGAAAAGAAACUAACAAGGAUUCCCUUAGUAACGGCGAGCGAACCGGGAUAAGCCCACCAUGAGAAUCGGUCGCCCUCGGCGUUCGAAUUGUAGUCUGGAGNAAGCGUCAA
rnacentral:rRNA from 1 species